rnacentral:ncRNA from 1 species
GGUUAAGCGACUAAGCGUACACGGUGGAUGCCCUGGCAGUCAGAGGCGAUGAAGGACGUGCUAAUCUGCGAUAAGCGUCGGUAAGGUGAUAUGAACCGUUAUAACCGGCGAUUUCCGAAUGGGGAAACCCAGUGUGUUUCGACACACUAUCAUUAACUGAAUCCAUAGGUUAAUGAGGCGAACCGGGGGAACUGAAACAUCUAAGUACCCCGAGGAAAAGAAAUCAACCGAGAUUCCCCCAGUAGCGGCGAGCGAACGGGGAGGCAGCCCAGAGCCUGAAUCAGUGUGUGUGUUAGUGGAAGCGUCUGGAAAGGCGCGCGAUACAGGGUGACAGCCCCGUACACAAAAAUGCACAUGCUGUGAGCUCGAUGAGUAGGGCGGGACACGUGGUAUCCUGUCUGAAUAUGGGGGGACCAUCCUCCAAGGCUAAAUACUCCUGACUGACCGAUAGUGAACCAGUACCGUGAGGGAAAGGCGAAAGACCCCGGNGAGGGGA